rnacentral:rRNA from 1 species
AGAUUGAACGCUGGCGGCAGGCCUAACACAUGCAAGUCGAGCGGCAGCACGGGUACUUGUAUCUGGUGGCGAGCGGCGGACGGGUGAGUAAUGCCUAGGAAUCUGCCUGGUAGUGGGGGAUAACGCUCGGAAACGGACGCUAAUACCGCAUACGUCCUACGGGAGAAAGCAGGGGACCUUCGGGCCUUGCGCUAUCAGAUGAGCCUAGGUCGGAUUAGCUAGUUGGUGGGGUAAUGGCUCACCAAGGCGACGAUCCGUAACUGGUCUGAGAGGAUGAUCAGUCACACUGGAACUGAGACACGGUCCAGACUCCUACGGGAGGCAGCA